rnacentral:lncRNA from 1 species
ACACAUGAGGAAAAGGAGGAGGAGGGGGAGAAGGAGAAGGAAGGAAAAGAGGAGGAGGAAGAAUAAGGAGAAGGAAGUGGAGGAGAAAGAGGAAGUGGAAGAACUGGCUGUGUGAAAGGCUGGGGCCUGUUUCUGGCCCUGUGGUGUGUCGGGAGUCGAUCAGGCAUCACAGGAGCCCGGCCCAUCACGCCCACCUUACCUCUGCCGACUGUCGCCCCGCAGCACCUCGCUGUCGCUUCCUUAUUUCAGCUUAUUUUGAAGUGAAUUUGGGAAGACUCCUGAGGGGUUGUAGAGACAUAUGCAGAUCUACCAGUUAACCUCUGCACCUCUGGUGGGAGAAGAUGGAAGAAAGAAG